rnacentral:rRNA from 1 species
UACGUAGGGGGCAAGCGUUGUCCGGAUUUAUUGGGCGUAAAGAGCGUGUAGGCGGCUUUACAGGUCCGUUGUGAAAACUCGAGGCUCAACCUCGAGACGCCGGUGGAAACCGUAAAGCUAGAGUCCGGAAGAGGAGAGUGGAAUUCCUGGUGUAGCGGUGAAAUGCGCAGAUAUCGGGAGGAACACCGGUGGCGAAGGCGGUUCUCUGGGCCUGUACUGACGCUGAGGAGCGAAAGCGUGGGGAGCGAACAGG